GUGUCUCCAGCCAAGGGUCAUGUUUAUUAUCAAAUGAGUAUUAGCACUGUGCCUCCAGGCAAGUAGAAAUGGAAACCCAGGCAGUGAUGAGAGAAUUGACCAGAGUUUGGUCUUCAUCAAAGAGGGCUCUUGGGAUCUCACUCAGGUCUGCUGGGGCGGAGGACAGGCUCAGCCCUGGAAAGGGGCGGAGCAUCACAGUUUAAGCAGAAUGGUUGUGGUGCUGACCAGCCACAUUAGAGCCUUGGGUGACUACCUUUUGUGGGCUGGGAAUGGCAGGUGGGCAGGGCAGCCUCGGAUUCCACCCAGGGGUGGGUAGAGGACUUCUCAUGUGCUAGCAGUUCAGGCCAAAAUGCCUCCAAACCCUAGCAUUUUAAUCCUAGAAAACAGGCCCCAGCUCCCUCAUAAUGCAAGUCACAACCACCAGCUGCUAUCUGAAGCAUCCAUCCAUAGCCCACCCCACCCCACCUCCACUGCAACCCUGCUUCCCCAUGUGCUCUUCCCACCUGAUGGGUUUGAGCUACGCAGAGGAAUCAUCAGAAUAAUGAUCAUUUUCCCCUACCCCCUCCCUUGCUUGUUCAAAGAAAAGAGCCCUUAAUUGCUUCUUGAACUGCACACAAGUGGGCCGUUGACUGUGACUGUAAUUCAGCAUGGAGAAGCAAGGAAAACGCUGCAACAGAUUUUGUUGAGGCAAUGUCUUCAACGGAAAAAAAAAUGCUGCAGUGGGAUCAGCAGGCAUGGGCCACCGCUAAGUAGAAUGAGAAUAGCCUGGUAUAUUGAAGUAACCCUUAAUUGUAGAUGAUCUCAGUCUGAGGCAGGGGGAUGUGUUUUUUAAGUGGAGAGGGGGCAAGGCUGAGAAAGAGAGGGAGGGAGGGAGGAUGAACAGCAAUCAUUUUAGAAGGAUAGCCCAUUAUGGAUGACCCAGCAGAUUCAGAUUCCUAAUGAAGAUGACACUGUUGAAGGAAACGGAAGAAUUCUGCGUUUGGUUGUUUGCUAUUUACCAGCUUUCUACACCCACCUCCCAAGUACACUGUUAACAUCUCGAGGCGUCUGCAUCAGUUCCUUCCAUCUCAAAUGCAUCUUCCCACGAAGUUAGGAACUUGGAGAGGCAGCAGCCAUCUGCCCAAACAGCCCAGUAAAACAGCCAUUCCACUCCAAGUCACAGCCACCCCUGUACAGGCAGUGCUGGCUCCAGAGACCAGGAAAGAGAUGCCAGCAACCAAGAAACCUACUGCCAACUGCAUGCCUUCUCUAAACAUUUCCCUCUGUGUUCAUCUAAGAAGGAUGUAGACCUUGCAAAGAAAUCUCUCUCUCUCUCUCUUUUUUUUUUUUUUUUUUUUUUUUUUUUUUUUUUU
rnacentral:lncRNA from 1 species